AGCUUGCUCUGGUGGAUUAGUGGCGAACGGGUGAGUAACACGUGAGCAACCUGCCCCUGACUCUGGGAUAACAGCCGGAAACGGCUGCUAAUACCGGAUAUGCACCAUGAACGCAUGUUCUGUGGUGGGAAAGAUUUUUCGGUUGGGGAUGGGCUCGCGGCCUAUCAGCUUGUUGGUGAGGUAAUGGCUCACCAAGGCGUCGACGGGUAGCCGGCCUGAGAGGGUGACCGGCCACACUGGGACUGAGACACGGCCCAGACUCCUACGGGAGGCAGCAGUGGGGAAUAUUGCACAAUGGGCGAAAGCCUGAUGCAGCAACGCCGCGUGAGGGAUGACGGCCUUCGGGUUGUAAACCUCUUUUAGCAGGGAAGAAGCGAGAGUGACGGUACCUGCAGAAAAAGCGCCGGCUAACUACGUGCCAGCAGCCGCGGUAAUACGUAGGGCGCAAGCGUUAUCCGGAAUUAUUGGGCGUAAAGAGCUCGUAGGCGGUUUGUCGCGUCUGCUGUGAAAACUGGAGGCUCAACCUCCAGCCUGCAGUGGGUACGGGCAGACUAGAGUGCGGUAGGGGAGAUUGGAAUUCCUGGUGUAGCGGUGGAAUGCGCAG
rnacentral:rRNA from 1 species